rnacentral:other from 1 species
ACGGUGCUGCGCUGCGCGUGAGGCAUCAUAUCCCUGGGGCCAAUGUCAACCUCUAGGGAGCUGUCCCUGCCGGGGCCCUGGUCCCGGUACAUGGCGCCCACCUGCGUAAGCAGGCCACAGAGGAUAUCAACGCCGAACGGCUGAUGCGGCUCCGUC